UUCCUUUCAGGACUUCAUAGUCUAGCAUAGCUUCAUUCAAGCUGUGCUACCAUCACACAGAGAGUAGACUUGAACAAUGAAGAGUACCAAGAGAUGAAAAUUUUAAAUAAUUUAUUUGGACUUCGCAACUAUUUUACAACACAACAAACAAAAAACUUGGUACAGCUCCGGCCUCGCAGUCAUAGACUCGUAAACACGUAAAACAAAGUAUAACUUCAACUUCUAAACUUCUCGGAUACAUUUGGCAGCAUGUGUGUGACCAUCGUGGCUAAGAAAAGAGGUGAAACUGUAAGAGCUUCAAAAAAUAUCAGACCUUUCAGUUCCCGGUUACUAUAGAAUUUGGCAAGCCAAAGAUGUGCUGUCCACCUUUGAAAAUUUGUCUACAACAGAGGACCAGCAAAUGAGGUUGCACACUUCACUUGCCAGAAGUUCCCUUUUUGCCCUUGCGACGUACGUGGUUGGUGUUGGCACCCCGGACAGAUUUCCUUGCCUUUUUACGGGAUAUGCCACAGCAAGAGCAAAGAUUGAACAAUAUUAACAUGGGUAAGGCCAGUAAUGCCGAAUCCCAAAGCCACUCGAACUCUUUAGUAG
rnacentral:misc_RNA from 1 species